rnacentral:lncRNA from 10 species
ACGCAGUCUCACUCUGUCACCAGGCUGGAGUGAAGUGGUACCAUCUCUGCUUACUGCAUCCUCCGUCUCCCGGGUUCAAGCAAUUCUCCUGCCUCAGCCUCCCAAGUAGCUGGGACUACAGGCGCAAACCACCACGCCCAGGUAAUUUUUUUACGUUUAGUAGAGGCGGGGUUUCACCAUGCUAUCCAGGAUGGUUUCGAUCUCUUGACCUGGUGAUCUGCCCACCUCAGCCUUCCAAAGUGCUGGUAUUACAGGCAUGAACCACCAGCCCAGCCAAUUUUAAAUACUUGGCCUCAUCGAUUAUCUCCUUAAAUACAAACUAACUUACAAACGACACUAUUUGAAUUCGAAAAUAUUGUCACCAAAACCAAUGGCACUAAUAUCUCAGGUCACCUAUGCAUAACUAAAUUGUUUCUUUGUAGUCUCAGCUACUGGAGAGGCUAAGGCAGAAGCAUCAUCUGAGUCCAGGAGUUCCAAGCUGUAGUGCACUAUGAUUGUGCCUUGAAAAGCCCCAGCACUCCAGCCUCAGCAACAUAGGAGAAACCCCUCUCUUAAAAAAAGAAAAAAAAAAGUAAAAUUGGCUAUUUACAUCUGGCCAUUUCUCUGUCACAAUUAUCACAUAAGGAAAGUCAAGCUAACACCCUACUAACGAAACUCAUGAACUAUUCAGUACUGUGAACGUGGCUGCAGUUAGUCAACUGUUGAACUGAUAUGCAUUUUUCUAUGAAGCAUGAAUUUGAAUACAAGC